GUCAACUACCCGCCGCCUAUAGAGGCGGGGGCUUGAAAAAGCCCUGAUUGACUACCCUCAGCCACAUAAGUGGCUACGUUAGACAGGUACACCCUAUGAUGCUGCUCAAGUUCCAGGCUCUGUC
rnacentral:sRNA from 15 species